rnacentral:rRNA from 1 species
AGAGUUUGAUCCUGGCUCAGAGCGAACGCUGGCGGCAGGCCUAAAACAUGCAAGUCGAACGAACCCUUCGGGGUUAGUGGCGGACGGGUGAGUAACACGUGGGAACGUGCCCUUUGGUUCGGAACAACUCAGGGAAACUUGAGCUAAUACCGAAUGUGCCCUUCGGGGGAAAGAUUUAUCGCCAUUGGAGCGGCCCGCGUUGGAUUAGCUAGUUGGUGAGGUAAAGGCUCACCAAGGCUACGAUCCAUAGCUGGUCUGAGAGGAUGAUCAGCCACACUGGGACUGAGACACGGCCCAGACUCCUACGGGAGGCAGCAGUUAGGAAUCUUGCGCAAUGGGGGAAACCCUGACGCAGCCAUGCCGCGUGAAUGAUGAAGGUCUUAGGAUUGUAAAAUUCUUUCAGCGGGGACGAUAAUGACGGUACCCGCAGAAGAAGCUCCGGCUAACUUCGUGCCAGCAGCCGCGGUAAUACGAAGGGGGCUAGCGUUGCUCGGAAUUACUGGGCGUAAAGGGCGCGUAGGCGGACAGCUAAGUCAGAGGUGAAAGCCCAGGGCUCAACCUUGGAACUGCCUUUGAUACUGGCUGUCUUGAGUUCGGGAGAGGUGUGUGGAACUCCGAGUGUAGAGGUGAAAUUCGUAGAUAUUCGGAAGAACACCAGUGGCGAAGGGCGACACACUGGCCCGAUACUGACGCUGAGGCGCGAAAGCGUGGGGAGCAAACAGGAUUAGAUACCCCAGUAGUCC